rnacentral:rRNA from 1 species
GACGAACGCUGGCGGCGUGCUUAACACAUGCAAGUCGAGCGGUAAGGCCCUUCGGGGGUACACGAGCGGCGAACGGGUGAGUAACACGUGGGUGACCUGCCCUCAGCUCUGGGAUAAGCCUGGGGAAACCGGGUCUAAUACUGGAUAUGACUCCAUGACGCAUGUUGUGGGGUGGAAAGCCUUGUGCGGCUGAGGAUGGGCCCGCGGCCUAUCAGCUUGUUGGNGGGUGAUGGCCUACCAAGGCGACGACGGGUAGCCGGCCUGAGAGGGCGACCGGCCACACUGGGACUGAGACACGGCCCAGACUCCUACGGGAGGCAGGCAGUGGGGAAUCUU